CGAUGAACCACUUCGGUGGGGAUUAGUGGCGAACGGGUGAGUAACACGUGGGCAAUCUGCCCUGCACUCUGGGACAAGCCCUGGAAACGGGGUCUAAUACCGGAUAUGACCAUCUUGGGCAUCCUUGAUGGUGUAAAGCUCCGGCGGUGCAGGAUGAGCCCGCGGCCUAUCAGCUUGUUGGUGAGGUAACGGCUCACCAAGGCGACGACGGGUAGCCGGCCUGAGAGGGCGACCGGCCACACUGGGACUGAGACACGGCCCAGACUCCUACGGGAGGCAGCAGUGGGGAAUAUUGCACAAUGGGCGAAAGCCUGAUGCAGCGACGCCGCGUGAGGGAUGACGGCCUUCGGGUUGUAAACCUCUUUCAGCAGGGAAGAAGCGAAAGUGACGGUACCUGCAGAAGAAGCGCCGGCUAACUACGUGCCAGCAGCCGCGGUAAUACGUAGGGCGCGAGCGUUGUCCGGAAUUAUUGGGCGUAAAGAGCUCGUAGGCGGCUUGUCACGUCGGUUGUGAAAGCCCGGGGCUUAACCCCGGGUCUGCAGUCGAUACGGGCAGGCUAGAGUUCGGUAGGGGAGAUCGGAAUUCCUGGUGUAGCGGUGAAAUGCGCAGAUAUCAGGAGGAACACCGGUGGCGAAGGCGGAUCUCUGGGCCGAUACUGACGCUGAGGAGCGAAAGCGUGGGGAGCGAACAGGAUUAGAUACCCUGGUAGUCCACGCCGUAAACGGUGGGCACUAGGUGUGGGCAACAUUCCACGUUGUCCGUGCCGCAGCUAACGCAUUAAGUGCCCCGCCUGGGGAGUAC
rnacentral:rRNA from 1 species